UGGCUCAGUGGUAGAGUGCUUGCCUUGAAUGCAUGAGGCCUUGGGUUCAAUUCCUCA
rnacentral:tRNA from 1 species